rnacentral:rRNA from 1 species
UACGUAGGGGGCAAGCGUUGUCCGGAUUCAUUGGGCGUAAAGAGCUCGUAGGCGGUUUGUCGCGUCUGCUGUGAAAACUGGAGGCUCAACCUCCAGCCUGCAGUGGGUACGGGCAGACUAGAGUGCGGUAGGGGAGAUUGGAAUUCCUGGUGUAGCGGUGGAAUGCGCAGAUAUCAGGAGGAACACCGAUGGCGAAGGCAGAUCUCUGGGCCGUAACUGACGCUGAGGAGCGAAAGCAUGGGGAGCGAACAGG